GAUUAGGAAUAAGUAACCGGGAAGUAGGUUAGACUGGUCUGUAAAAAUGACAGAAGUGGCUUCAAACAUCCUGAUGAAAAUUCUUCCCUUUAACUCAGACAAGCACGUUGGUUGAAAGUAAUAAAAAUCAGUUUAUUAUAAAUAAUCUAUUUUGUAUAUUUCAUAUGUUAUAUUGAACCACUAAAGGAAAUAUUAAAAUAUGCAACGGAACGGGUUGAAAAUAAUCACAUACAUUAACAUUUUCUCGAGCAGUUUAUUUUGUACUAUGAUAUGCACAACACAAAAUAAACUUUAUCAUAAAUAUUUCAUGUGAUUGUGAUUAUUGUACAGUGCUAUUAAAAAAGUUUCGUAAUUUUGAUCUAUACUUCUAUACUUAUAUUAUAAAGCUGAAGUGUUUGUUUAGUUGAACGUGCUAAUCUCAGAAACUACUAGUUUUAAUUCAAAAAAUCUUUUUGUGUUGGAUAGUCCAUUUAUCGUAUCUACAUAUAGGCCAUAUAACAUCACGCUACGAUCAAUAGGAGCGAAGUAGCAAUGAAAAAUUCUGAAAAAUGGGAAAAUUAUUCCUCCUUUGACAGCUUCCGUUGCUUACGCUGCUUAAAUGGUUAAAGUUACGUAAAAAUAAUGUAUGACGAAAUUGUUCCCCUCUAAAAGUUCUAAAGAAAAGUCCGGGACAGCAUAAGGUCGAUUCAGUAUAACCUAAUUUAUGGGAAUGAAAUUUGUUCUAAAAUAAUAAUGUAUCUAAAAAUGAGCAUCCGCGUGGCAAAUGACUGAGCUGUCUGUCAAGCAGCUUAGAAAACGAGUAGGAUAGUUGUAAGAGUGAACGUCGUCAAAAGGUAUAUUCAGUUUAAAGAACACAUUAGGAGCGAGACUAUCGAAAAUUUUUCAGGUAAUUAACUUUUAUUUAUGCAUAAAUUGUGCAGUGCUUUUUUUCUAACACUGGCCAUAGAGAUUCCCAUCUCAAGUUGUCUACGCCAUACUAACUUAUAUUUUGGUGACUCGAUUUUUGCUUUGAUGGUUGAACACUGUCACUGUUUUCCGUUUUUGUUGUAUCGAGAUGAUACUUGAGCAUCAACUGUUACCUACUGAAGUAUUAGCACAUCUAGAAAAACUAGAAAUAUUUUGAUUUGAUAUUCUAGUAGAUACUUCGUAUUUCGAGUAUGAGCAUCUACUGAGUUUUAUUUGUAUCAACCAUUGUCAAAAAAUUGUUCGAACGUUGUUUCGACAGAACUUCCUUCGAACCAAAAGUAUAAUGAAACAUAUUCAGCAUUUUCGAGUUGAGUCUUUUCUUCACACAAUUUUGUGAUGGCCUAAUCAACAUUUACGAUCAACACGUAUACCACCUUGGUUUGGCACAGUACAGUACUAAAAAUAACUGUAUUGUAUUCCCAAAAUUAUCUGCGAAAAUCGAGUGAGCCGUUCCAUCAAUUUUUUAGGGGAAAUAAAUAAAUAUUCUUAACAAUUUACCAUUCUUACAAUAACUUUAAAACAUCUACAAGAUCUCAAAGUAUUCAUUUCUGCAACUCUUGUGUUAUUCACUAAAAUAAAUUGACUGAUCCAUACAUUUUUUUGAGUCACUGUAAAAGCAAAUCUAAAAAAUAUGAAUGCAAUGAUAAAUUACGAAAAUAUACUGACGAUAUUUUGCACAUUUUAGAUAGGAUUUAUUCGGUAAAAUCUUGAAAUGACGUCAUCAAGUUUUUGGGCUUGAUAAACAGAUAUAUUUUGAUUAAAAACCUACCAUGUCAAACAGUAACUUCAAAACGUCUGCAAUAAUUCAAAAUUCAGUUUUGCAAUUCUUGAUUCAAUCAAUAAAAUAUAUAGACUCAGUGAUUAAUUUUUUUGAGACACCCCUUAUAAUCAAAACUAAAAAAUAUGAAUGGAAUGAUAAAUCACAAGUAUAGUCUCAUCCUAUUUUGGACAUUUUAGAUAGGAUUCAUUUGGCAAAAUUUUGGGCUGACGUCAUCAAUUUUUUGGAGGGGAUAAGUAAAUUAUUUUGAAUAAAAAUUCAUAUGUUGAAAACAUCUAUAAGAUUUCAAAGCAUUCGGUUUUGCAGAUUCAAAAUUAAAUUGUAGGUGAAACGAAGUUCACGGGGUCAGCUAGGAGUAAAUAAUGCAUUAAUGCCAGUAGGAAAUUUUUAAACAAUUGUUUCAAGUUCUUAAAACGACAUUUUUGGAGAGUAAUUAUUCCAACUUAUGUUGUUUCUUAGAAACAUAUGAGUCCUUCCUAAUUACUGACCAAAUUCUUAUAAAUAUAUAUUUUCAACGUAAAGUUUUUAAAUUUUAGAGUUUCUUUAAAAAUUUGACAAUUUCUUAGUUCUUUCCCCUUUGGCACAGAACUAAACAAUACUUCAAAAAUACAAAAAUUUCUUUGUCCAUCCCCGCCAAACUUUUAAGACAUCAUAUCGCACUUUACAAUAAUAAAAAUUAAAUAAUUAAAAGAGUGAGUAUGGAUUAAAAAUAUAGGGUGUACCCAACUAGGUCUAAUUUUAAAACAGUUGAAAAAUAUCACGUGUUCUAGUCAAUUCAAACAUUUCUUUAUCAGUUUAUCAGUAAGUUAACAAACCUAUAGAUACGUGUAAGUCGUUCCAAAGGGGUAACGGCAACAUUUAAAUGAAAUCAGUAAUCACGUUGCAAUCGCACCAGAAACUUUGUUUCAGCCACCGCUAAAAUAUUUCCUUGUCUUAAUAUUUUUAGAUUUCUACGAACCACAAUGGCAAACGAAGCAGAACCCCAACAAAAAAUAAUUAUUACUGAUUCUUUGAAGAUGUAUGAAGAUAUGUCACCUUACUACUUGAGGGAAACGUUUUCCGACAUUCAACUAAUCCUAUCCGACAAAAUAAUUCAUGCGCACAAAAUUGUACUCGCUGCUAGGUGCAAAUAUUUUGAGUCUCUUUUAAUGAUAGACCCAAAACAAGCUGAAAUUGCUUUACAGAAUGUGCCUUCCAAAGCUUUUGAAACAAUACUGUAUUACAUUUAUACAGGAUCCAUUGUCAUCGCAUCGGAAGACGAAAAUAAUAUAUCCGAUAUACUGAAAUUAGCGCACGAAUAUUCAUUAAAAACACUGGAAAAGAGUAUAAACGAAAAAAUGAAUUCCAUUGUGAAUUUGUCAAAUGUUUGUUCCCUUCUAAACAAAGCCAACGCACAUGACAUGGACGAGUUAAGAGAAAUAUGUCAUACUUUUAUUGAUAAACAUGUUUCGCAAAAGUUAGAAUAUGAUUUUUUCAAUAUUCUCACACAAAAAUCUAUGAUUAACUUGUUGAAAAGAGAUGCGUUUCCUGUUGAAGAAAUUAAUGUCUUUAAGAUAGCGGCAAACUGGUGCAAGUUUCAUGAAGACUUGGACAACUUGGUUAUUGAAUGCAUUCGAUUUUCUACGUUAACGCGAAAUGAAAUUUUAACUGUUGUUUGGACGACUAAAAUAGUAGAUGAAACAAAACUGUUGAAUGCUCUUGCAAUGAUUGAAGUUAACGGUCCGAAAGAAACACAACGACGCUUUGCUGGAUGGUGGAAAGGUAAAAAUCUUGCUACAGCAGAAAAUAAUGUGAAAGUUAUUUUUGGAUUAAAUACCGCAAUGUUGUUUGAAGAAACAGAAAAGUUUGAAGAAGGUGCUUAUCACAAUGUGGACGAUAAAAACGGUAUUACUGUAGAUCUUGGUGCCGUAAAAUGCUUCAAUUACAUAACAAUGUAUGUAAUUAUUAAACGUUCGUGGCCCUAUUACUACAUAGAAGUUUCAACAGACCUUCAAAAGUGGCAUAAUGUUGUAGAUUACAGCAAAUAUUAUUGCGAGUGCAUUCAAAACUUAUAUUUUGAAGAACAACAGGCUAGGUACAUUAGGAUAGUCUUAAAGAACGAUAGAACCAGAAUUAGUAGAUUUCAAGUUUACAUGAGCAGUAAGGUUCCUAAAAUACAUAACCAAAUUGUCUUCCCUUUUUCAAACGUCAUAACUUCUGAAACCUGUAUAAAUUUUUUAGGACACCCCCCAUAAGCAGACAACUCUUUUAAGGCGAACAUUUUUUCAUAGUCCGGGUACUGACAAUAUAAAAAAAUAUAUUUAUAUGAACCUCUCAUAAACGGACCCUUCGCUGGGUGGACACGGAUACCUUUGAACAGUAGUUCUGAACGCCCUCUGGUUUUUACAUCGAUUUCGAUUGGAACAUUUCUUUGAAGCACAAAUAUACAGACAAGUGUUUAAACAAUGUACAUUAGCUAUUUAUGCUACCUUUUACUUAAUAUUGAGAAAAACGCCUUUAAAAGGGUGCAUAUUAACUCUUAAAGACGUGUCCAAAGGUAUUAAAAUGGGGGAAACUAAAACAGGCGGUAUUAUUAAAUAUGUGACACUCUUUUUUUAAUACUGGCGUAACACUAUAUUGUGCAACAAGUUUUGAAAAUACCCUUUUCACAUGAGUGUAACGUUUAGCAGUCAAAGGAGUAUGAAAAACGCCAAUUUCAAACGUAUUGCACAUUAUACUUUUUCUACACUUAAAAAUGAUACGUAAAAAAUUUCUAAACCAACCAAAGGAAGCUACUUCUGUCUGAUUGAUUGUUCAGUAAUUACUUUUUCAACGCUUUAGUAACUUUCUGAUAGUUGACAGAUUGUUGUAAAUCCUUUACCACAUCAAUAGACUGUUGAUAAUUUGCUAGCUGUUCCUCAUUUGACUCGUCAGAUUUACUAUUAAUAAAUUGUUAUGUAUCUUAAAGAACUCUUCUAAAUUACUGCUGUUAACACGUAACAUAAUUAUUCUCAUUCUUCCUGAUCAUGCUGACACAAUGUUAUUGUUACUUUUCUUUAGAACAUUUUUCCACCAACACAAUUUUUCUACUUCACUGUAAGAGUUUAUAAAAAAGAGACCCGUUUCAUUUGCGUUAUAGAUAUUUUUUGGCAACUAGAUUUUCAAAAAUCGAGGAUUCUUGGUUAUGAAAGUUUCUACAUCUUGGUCCACACUUGCUGGUUCACCAGAAAUAGCCUUAAAACAAAUGUUAAGGCGUUUACAAAUUUUUCAAGCUAACCAACUGAAGCAUGGAAUUUCCAUUUCUUAAACUUUUCAUUUGGCUCGAAUUACAGCUCCUAAAAGUCUGAUAUUUGGUAAAAAAUACUAGCAUAUGCAUUAAGUUAUCUGAUGCAGUGAUUUCUUUUCUAUUUUUGUAAACCACUCAUCACAUAAUGUAUCAAUGUUCAAAAAUCGUUUUUUCUACACUUACUAUACAAUAGUUAUUUUCGUGGAAAUACACUUUACAAAUAUUUUAUUUAAAUCCAGCAACCGUCAAACUACAUAACUGGAUUAUUUUAAUGAUUAGUUAAUUUUACACUGAACUGUUUUCUGUUCAUUUUUAGUAUUCCAAAAAGUUCAUUUUCUUUUUAAUAUAGGCUUAGUUAUUACGCUUGUAAAAACGAAAUACUUAUACAUUUCAUUUUUUUCUCAUUAACGGACAUCACAAAUGAGAGGACGGGUUUUCCUCAGUUCCGAAGCUGUCCACCGAAGAGAGAUUUCACUGUAUAUGGACUAAUGUAUAAAGUUUGAUCGUUUCUUUUAUCACUUUGAGAUACAUGUCACAAUUUUUAGAAAUAAAAUAUAUGUAAACAUACCAUUAGAACAAACAAAAAUAGUAGUUACAUGUUAAAAGUACCUAAUGAUUGUUUACGUUAUACGUGGAAGCACUACUAUCUACAUGUGUGAAGUUUGCUCACAAGGAAAUAUAGGGGGACGCGUGAUGCAUUCACUAUGUGUCUGUGUUUAG